AACGAGAGUCAAAGCAAUCACAUUCUGGCAUUUUACAGACUUCUUAACGAAGCACCACGCAAGAGAAAUGUCCACAACAACACUAUAUUGGCAUCAGAAUUUGCUAGAAAGACGCCGCAUGCAUUAGAGUACGCAGCAAAGUACAGUGACUACGAUGUUCUCUUAAUCCAUGGGAUAAUGCAUACCCGCCUUGCCCUCCACGAUGCGAAUGCAUGCCAGGCAGAAAUGUCGAUAACAAUGGUAGAAGAAUACACUAUUGCAAGUGACACCACCGUCUUACAGGCAAUGAGUGCAACAAGUAAUAAAAAUGAUUCUUGAUCUAA
rnacentral:lncRNA from 1 species